GCCUCAGUAGCUCAGUUGGUUAGAGCACCUGACUGUUAAUCAGGGGGUCCUAGGUUCAAGUCCUAGUUGAGGCGCCA
rnacentral:tRNA from 1 species